CAUCAUCUUAACUUUCUUCUUACCAUCUGAAACGUGCUUUCACCCGGCUAAACGGCGGUACUAAUUAAGACGGCAAAUGAGUUCGUUUUAGGUCAGAAGAGAGUCAUCGCAUUAGGUGCCAACUGAAUAAAGGGAAAACAGGUGCAAAGAAGAAUCUCCUCCACAGUGUGACAUUUCAGCCCUCCUUGGGGACUCCGGUGCCUCACCUUUCAGUCUCACAGGAGCAAAGAUGCUCUUGUCCUCAUCAACCCCUCUGUCAUGCUGCUCUGACUAAUUAGGUAUAAUGAAUUAUUUGGAGCUGCAAAUCAAUUGUCCAGGAGCUAAUGGGGGGCUCGUGUCAUAAUUGCUCUCUGGCCCUUGCUACAUGGGUCCUGGUAGAUCAGGCUUUAAUUAGGGAUUUUUUUGAAAGAAAUUUGUCACUGGCCACAGAGUCCUUUGUAAAAAUAAAUAAAUAAGUAAAUCAA